rnacentral:rRNA from 1 species
UACGGAGGGAGCUAGCGUUGUUCGGAAUUACUGGGCGUAAAGCGCACGUAGGCGGCUUUGUAAGUUAGAGGUGAAAGCCUGGAGCUCAACUCCAGAAUUGCCUUUAAGACUGCAUCGCUUGAAUCCAGGAGAGGUGAGUGGAAUUCCGAGUGUAGAGGUGAAAUUCGUAGAUAUUCGGAAGAACACCAGUGGCGAAGGCGGCUCACUGGACUGGUAUUGACGCUGAGGUGCGAAAGCGUGGGGAGCAAACAGGAUUAAGAAACC